rnacentral:rRNA from 1 species
AUUGAACGCUGGCGGCAGGCCUAACACAUGCAAGUCGAACGGUAACAGGAAGCAGCUUGCUGCUUUGCUGACGAGUGGCGGACGGGUGAGUAAUGUCUGGGAAACUGCCUGAUGGAGGGGGAUAACUACUGGAAACGGUAGCUAAUACCGCAUAACGUCGCAAGACCAAAGAGGGGGACCUUCGGGCCUCUUGCCAUCGGAUGUGCCCAGAUGGGAUUAGCUAGUAGGUGGGGUAACGGCUCACCUAGGCGACGAUCCCUAGCUGGUCUGAGAGGAUGACCAGCCACACUGGAACUGAGACACGGUCCAGACUCCUACGGGAGGCAGCAGUGGGGAAUAUUGCACAAUGAGCGCAAGCCUGAUGCAGCCAUGCCGCGUGUAUGAAGAAGGCCUUCGGGUUGUAAAGUACUUUCAGCGGGGAGGAAGGGAGUAAAGUUAAUACCUUUGCUCAUUGACGUUACCCGCAUAAGAAGCACCGGCUAACUCCGUG